rnacentral:rRNA from 1 species
GACGAACGCUGGCGGCGUGCUUAGCACAUGCAAGUCGAACGAUGAAGCGGGUGCUUGCACUCGUGGAUUAGUGGCGAACGGGCGAGUAACACGUGAGUAACCUGUCCUUUUCUUUGGGAUAACGGCUGGAAACGGCUGCUAAUACUGGAUAUUCAGGCUGCAUCGCAUGGUGUGGUUUGGAAAGGUUUUUUCUGGGAUUGGGUGGGCUCGCGGCCUAUCAGCUUGUUGGUGGGGUGAUGGCUUACCAAGGCUUUGACGGGUAGCCGGCCUGAGAGGGUGGUCGGUCGCACUGGGACUGAGAUACGGCCCAGACUCCUACGGGAGGCAGCAGUGGGGAAUAUUGCACAAUGGACGAAAGUUUGAUGCAGCGACGCCGCGUGGAGGGUGUAGGCCUUCGGGUUGUGAACUCCUUUUUCUCGCGAAAAAGGCACAGUUUUGGCUGUGUUGAUGGUAGUGGGGGAAGAAGCGCCGGCUAACUACGUG